ACUAUUUUCUGAAGCUCUACUUGUUAUUAAUUGAAAAUCGGCCAAAUAAGUGUCCUUUUUUCUAGUAAUCAUGCCAUAUAACUCAUGUAAAAAGACCAAGUAAAAGGGACGAAUAAGCAAUGAAAAUGAUAUGGAGAAAGUUAUCUAAAUCUUAUUGAUGAUACUAGAAAUCUAUUAUAUAUAUUUUCGAAGAAUACGACUUUAAAAUUGGACAAUUUAUAGUCUGUAUGGUUGACGAAGGUGGACAGCGUUCGGAACGAAAGAAAUGGAUCCAUUGCUUCAAGAAUGUAAACCUUAUAAUAUUUUUUGUGGCAAUUUCCGAGUACAAUCAAAAUUUGUCAAAAGUCAAAGCUAAACUUUCUGCAAUUCCAGUCGACAAACGUAGGCGGAAAAAUAA